rnacentral:lncRNA from 1 species
UGGAAAGUCCAGGGCCACAGUGCCUUCAGGGGCUACUGGAGGCUGUGCUUCUUGAAUGAGAGGACAAGCCAAGAAAGAACAUAUGGGACACAACAGGUAGGAAUCAAACACAGGAGAGUGGUGAAGGGACUCUAGGGUAAGGGUGAUGGGAGAGUCCAGAAUGACAGUUAUGCACUAGGUGCAGAAGGAAACAAGUCCAGCCUGAAGAAGUGGGACACCAGGACUCCAGGGAGAGACACACUGAGGGCUUCCAUCACCACCAUCCCCACUGCCAUCAUGCUAACUUUUAAAUCAAGGACUCAAUACCCAGAGUCUGGCCCAGAUUUUUCCUUUGUACUUUCUUUAUUUUGACCACAUGCUGAUAAAGUUCCUGCUCAUUCCUCGAGUGCUCUGAUGCUUGAUCUACUGUGGGUGUCAUCCAGAAAUGUUCUGCCUUGACCUCUUCUGGGAAGUGGAGGAGAAGUCGUGAUGAGCAGAAUAUACACAACAGCCAUCUCCUUCUGACUAUAUCCUGGCCAAACAUCUAAAACUCGGCCCAUUCUCCAGCGUUACCGUAUGUCUCACCUGUGCUGAGCCCAGUGAUUCCCAGUGUUACUCAUCAUCUUACUCAAUGAUUUUCCCAUAAAAAGCUCUUAUAAAUGCUUAGGGAAGCUGAAGCCAGACAAUGACCGAGAGGCUGUUCAGUUUAUCUUCUCCUCCUGAGCCUUCCUCAAACAGUGGUAACAUCACCCUUUCCUUAUUCUUCUAGAUUGGUGCUUGCUGCUCAGUGUUUCAAAACUAAGUCAUGUUGUUUAGGGAUGUAUAUAUUGGUGGAAAAC